UGGGGAAUCUUGGACAAUGGGCGCAAGCCUGAUCCAGCCAUGCCGCGUGAGUGAAGAAGGCCUUCGGGUUGUAAAGCUCUUUUACCAGGGACGAUAAUGACGGUACCUGGAGAAUAAGCCCCGGCAAACUUCGUGCCAGCAGCCGCGGUAAUACGAAGGGGGCUAGCGUUGUUCGGAAUUACUGGGCGUAAAGCGCACGUAGGCGGAUUGUUAAGUCAGAGGUGAAAUCCCGGAGCUCAACUUCGGAACUGCCUUUGAUACUGGCAAUCUAGAGUCCGGAAGAGGUUAGUGGAAUUCCCAGUGUAGAGGUGAAAUUCGUAGAUAUUCGGAAGAACACCAGUGGCGAAGGCGGCCAACUGGCGCAUUUCUGACGCUGAGGUGCGAAAGCGUGGGGAGCAAACAGGAUUAGAUACCCCCGUAGUCCCUGAGCGGGCUGGCAAGGCGCAU
rnacentral:rRNA from 1 species